CAGAUUCACUUCUUUCUUGGCUUCACCCUGGACCUGUGGUGACUGGAGGCUUUGUGAUAUGAUGAGGAAACUGAGGCUCCAAGAGCUUCUGUGACUUGUCCAAGGCCAUACAGCUAGUUCACAGUGAGGCACAGAAUCAGUUUAGAAGCACUUCGGGGAAUUUGGAUACUGUUUGGUGGCCUGGCAAGAUCAGCACCCUUACUAUUUUAGUCCCUGCCAGUCAUCAGCCUCUGGUUUUCCUGUUAUCCUCUGCUCCCUGUUAUGUAGCUACUAAGUGGCCUAAGAGCCAGCACCUUCACAAAGUAGCAAAGAGGAAAGGACAUUUGAGGACACAGUGAGAAGACGAUGGUUAUCCACAAGCCAGAAAAAGAAGCCUCACCAGAAACCAAUCCUGACACCCUGAGUUUGGGUUUUCAGCCCCUACAACUGUGAGACAAUGAAUGUCUUCUUUACAGCACAGUCUAUGAUAUCUUGUUGUGAUAGACUAAGGAGACUAAUCUAACUAUUCUUUAAUAUUGGGAACAUUACUUAGAAGCAAAUGAUCUUCGAAAAUGGU
rnacentral:lncRNA from 1 species